AUACGGCCAAAUCAAGUUGAAACACCGGUACCCGUACGAUCACCGAAGUUAAGCAACGUCAAUCCUGGUCAGUAAUAAGAUGGCUGAUUGCUUGGGAAUACUAGGAACUGUAAG